rnacentral:rRNA from 1 species
AUGUUAAAUAAGGAAUUCUCUCCAAGUCAUAAUAGGAGGUGGCAGAGGUACGACUCUAUGGUGAGCAAUGUGACUGCCGGCAGUAUGGCGCCCUUUGAGACAAGGCGAGAGGGCAUGUACCCUUCUUUUGGCAGAGUUGGAAGUCGUCGCAUCCUAGUUGUAGUAUUUAUGGAGUGGGCUAGGAGGUGCCUUGUGGUGAUGGUGACUCCAUCGAAGAUCUUCACCUUCCUACUGGUGGUGGCUGCCGUUCAAGUCUCUUACCUAGGUAUUUCAGGACAGGCUUUCUCUUUUUCCUUUACUUUGCCUGUAACGUCGUUUGAUCGUAAGAUGUUUCAGCGCUUUUUAAUUAUUUCUGAAAGAUGUUUCAGCACUUUUUAUCUCUUUGCCGUUCUAAUUCUUAUCGAUGUGUGCGUGUGUCUUGUUAAUUUGAAGCUUUCUGAAUUUUUUUGA